UACAGAGGGCAACCCAAACACAACAAAUUCUUUAUCAUCUAUUUUAUUUUUUUGCAGAGACCAUGUGAAAAGCACAAUACCCCAGCAACUUAAGACCUGGGUCAUAUAUGUGAAACCUACGUUCAAAUGUUUGUGGUUACUAAGUCUGACCGUGCUGAUGUCAACUCCAUCCAGCAGGAUUUGACCCUGGUUCAGCUCCACCAUACGGAAAAGGGCGAGGAACAGUGAGGAUUUUCCUGAGCCUGUGCGCCCUACAAUGCCCACCUUCUCACCAGUUUUUAGGGUAAAUAUAUCAGUCCUCUAACCUCAGUGCUGGCUUCUUGAGGCUCCUGCGGGAUGUUGGUGGAGUACUCUUCUGUACGCUCUAUGCUCACUAACUGCAUCUCUGUCUGAGCAAAGCUGAAAAUCAGGCCUG